rnacentral:rRNA from 1 species
GGUGAUUCAUAAUAAACUUGCGAAUCGCUUUACUUAGCGAUGUAUCAUUCAAGUUUCUGACCUAUCAGCUUUGGACGGUAGGGUAUUGGCCUACCGGGGCAACGACGGGUAACGGGGAAUUAGGGUUCGAUUCCGGAGAGGGAGCCUGAGAAAGGGCUACCACAUCUAAGGAGGGCAGCAGGCGCGCAAAUUACCCAAUCCUGACUCAGGGAGGUAGUGACAAGAAAUAACAAUACGGGGCUUAAUGUCUUGUAAUUGGAAUGAUGGGAAUUUAAACCUCUUCCAGAGUAUCAAUUGGAGGGCAAGUCUGGUGCCAGCAGCCGCGGUAAUUCCAGCUCCAAUAGCGUAUAUUAAAAUUGUUGCAGUUAAAAAGCUCGUAGUUGAAUUUCUGCUGCAUUACAUAUCUCUUGUUUGAGUUUGUUUUUGUGGCUUAUUUCGGUUUGAUUUUUUUAUCUUUCCGGAUGAUUACUUUGAGAAAAUUAGAGUGCUCAAAGCAGGCUUUUGCCUUGAAUAGUUUAGCAUGGAAUAAUAAAGUAGGACUUUGGUUCUAUUUUGUUGGUUUUAGGUACCAAAGUAAUGGUUAAUAGGAACAGUUGGGGGCA